rnacentral:rRNA from 1 species
CGGCCACAUUGGGACUGAGAUACGGCCCAGACUCCUACGGGAGGCAGCAGUGGGGAAUAUUGCACAAUGGGCGCAAGCCUGAUGCAGCGACGCCGCGUGCGGGAUGACGGCCUUCGGGUUGUAAACCGCUUUUGACUGGGAGCAAGCCCUUCGGGGUGAGUGUACCUUUCGAAUAAGCACCGGCUAACUACGUGCCAGCAGCCGCGGUAAUACGUAGGGUGCAAGCGUUAUCCGGAAUUAUUGGGCGUAAAGGGCUCGUAGGCGGUUCGUCGCGUCCGGUGUGAAAGUCCAUCGCUUAACGGUGGAUCCGCGCCGGGUACGGGCGGGCUUGAGUGCGGUAGGGGAGACUGGAAUUCCCGGUGUAACGGUGGAAUGUGUAGAUAUCGGGAAGAACACCAAUGGCGAAGGCAGGUCUCUGGGCCGUUACUGACGCUGAGGAGCGAAAGCGUGGGGAGCGAACAGGAUUAGAUACCCUGGUAGUCCACGCCGUAAACGGUGGAUGCUGGAUGUGGGGACCAUUCCACGGUCUCCGUGUCGGAGCCAACGCGUUAAGCAUCCCGCCUGGGGAGUACGGCCGCAAGGCUAAAACUCAAAGAAAUUGACGGGGGCCCGCACAAGCGGCGGAGCAUGCGGAUUAAUUCGAUGCAACGCGAAGAACCUUACCUGGGCUUGACAUGUUCCCGACAGCCCCAGAGAUGGGGCCUCCCUUCGGGGCGGGUUCACAGGUGGUGCAUGGUCGUCGUCAGCUCGUGUCGUGAGAUGUUGGGUUAAGUCCCGCAACGAGCGCAACCCUCGCCCUGUGUUGCCAGCACGUCGUGGUGGGAACUCACGGGGGACCGCCGGGGUCAACUCGGAGGAAGGUGGGGAUGACGUCAGAUCAUCAUGCCCCUUACGUCCAGGGCUUCACGCAUGCUACAAUGGCCGGUACAACGGGAUGCGACCUCGUGAGGGGGAGCGGAUCCCUUAAAACCGGUCUCAGUUCGGAUUGGAGUCUGCAACCCGACUCCAUGAAGGCGGAGUCGCUAGUAAUCGCGGAUCAGCAACGCCGCGGUGAAUGCGUUCCCGGGCCUUGUACACACCGCCCGUCAAGUCAUGAAAGUGGGUAGCACCCGAAGCCGGUGGCCCAACCUUUUUGGGGGGAGCCGUCUAAGGUGAGACUCGUGAUUGGGACUAAGUCGUAACAAGGUAGCCGUACCGGAAGGUGCGGCUG